GUUAUGUAUAUACAGUUGAGUUAUUGCACGUAGAAUUGAUAUUGCACAGUGGUGGUCCAUAGAGGAAGUGGGAAGUGGGGGGCUGUGUUAUCGGUGCAUGUGUGAGUGUGCAAUACUUUUGUCCUGUGUGAACGACCAUCGUUGAACAGAGGCGGUGGCUUAUGACACCAACUGUCUGCCAUCUAUAAUCCAGUUUUAUCCCUUUUUGUUAGGGGUGACUGCACUUAAAGAGGCCUGGAAGCCUUUUCAGAGGCGUCUCUCUUCAUGCAUGAGAGACAAAGGUGCUACCCUGUCUGCUGGCUUUGUUAUCUUCACGCCUCGGCUCAUAUGAUUAGGCAUAAGAGGAUGAUUAGGGGUCCAUGACCCUCUUGGGGACACUCCCAUGUGGCUUAAAUGUGGGACUCUCCAUCAGUAGCUCCUUACACUACGCUGAGCUGGAUGACUGAGAACCUUCACAGACAUACUUCCAGGUGGAUGUAACGCUACGGAGAAACUACAGCGACAGUACACCGGCCAACUUUGGUGUUUUUACAAGUAUCAGGUAAUUUCAUAUGUGACUUCUCUAUCAGCUGAACAAACUGUUUAUGCAUAUUCACGCUAAAGUUAAAUACAGAGAAAACGCAGAGUCUCUGCUUUCAGAAACAAUUGGAUUAGUUUCAAUUGAGCGAACGGUUCAAAAGUUACUGUAAUUUAAAAACGUUGCAAAAACCUGUCGCCGCUUGUUGGAUUGUGAGUUUCAGGCAUUAAAAUGCUAUUCUACAUCCGGACACUAGAGGGCGCAGAGCGCGAUGGUGGUACUGAGCAGUGUUCUGGGGCGCAGAAGAAGAAUUUCACAGAAAGAACUUCCUGUUGUGAAGCUAACGCCCCUCACAGCAUGUGUGUCUUUUGUGUUCACGGUUUAAAGAAGAUUAUUGUGUUUUCGUCUACUUGUCACCCAGGCUGACAGCAGGUUCACUGCCUCAGUCCAAACAACAUGGAGAAAAAUGUUGUGUACUGCCUGCUGUGCAACGAGCCCCAGCUGUCCAUUUCGACUCACCUGAGCAGAGUGUGCCUCAAAGACGGCACAGCACAGGAGAGGGAGCAAGAAGCUUCCAGAGCUACUGCCUCCCAGGAGCUGUUUUCUAGGGAAGGUCGACUCUGGAGCUUCUCGGAGCUGCAGGAGUUUUGCAAGGACACAACAUCUUGCAUCAAACUCUGCAGUCGCCUUCAGAGUCGUGGCUUUAUCAUCACAGAUGCUCCCCAAACCUGGCCAACAGUGCUGCCAACACAGAGGUCUGAUAAGAAGGAAGUCCUCGCCGUGGCCAAAAAGGACAUCGAGUAUUUCCACCAAAAGCUUGCAGGCGGUGAUUGCAUCCCCAACGUUGCCAUGACAACGUUCAGGCAGUACUGCGAGGCCAUCCUGAUAUUACAGCACGGACUGACAGCAAGUGCUGUUCAGGAUUUUUCUGUGCAGGACUGGAUGGAGCGAAGGGAAAGCUUGAGGAUGACCAUCCAGGAAGAAGAACUGUUGGAGUGCUACUUUAAGAACAUCCGCCCAGUGUCCUUACGAAACCAAAGAGCUGGCAGUGAUGAUGGGGGCAGGUUCUUCCUGGGAGAAGGUGGGGUCCCUCUGACCAACCCAGGAUUAGAUGUAGGGCGCCUGAGGGCCAGAUACCUGCGCAGCGACACUGAGGAUCCUGCAGCUGGGUCAGCGUCACACUCAGCAGGAGGAGUAGAAACUUCGGGACAGGCCAGGUCCAUUUCCACAAAGCGCCUACCACUCAGAGAAUGGGAUGCCUUCCAGCGGACCUUCCCAGUAACCGUAAAUGGAGAGCCACCUUCAAAACGUCGGUGUGUACAGGCUGGUUUUCCACACUACCGAGCCCACUACCGCAAGUGGAGGGAGCAUCAGCUUAAGCAGAGAGUUCAGCACAUCCUCGGGUGUGUCAGAAGAGGCAACGCCCCUCAGCGUGCAAGAGUACAGAUGGCAUUAGAUAAGGAGACCUGGUUCACCAACAAGCCCACUGUUGAUGCCGUCCUACAGGCCUGGGUUGCUCCACAGCCCAGGAUCCAGGACAGCCAGUCCCUCAUGUCCUCGAUUUCAGAGCAGAAAUGGAAGGGCCUGUCGUUGAAGGACUUUAGGGAGGAAAAGGGCAAAGGUGUGAUCGCCCUGAUGCCCUUCAACAAAGGAGACGUCGUCUGCGACUACCACGGGACGUGCAUCACCAAAGCUGCAGGGAAUCGGAGGCGGCAGUCGGGGUCUCUCUUCUUCUACAGGGACGAGUGCCACAGGGUUGAUGCCACUGCGUCCCCCUGUGCCUGCCACCUGCACAAGGACUCCUAUGGAAGGCAAAUCAACCAUUGCCAAAGGAAUCCAAACGUGAGGCCACAAAGGUUCACAAUGAACUUCCCUGCUGGUCCUCGGGAGAGUGUGCUGUUCAUCGCCCUGAGGGACAUCGCGGUUGGAGAGGAACUCCUGUGGGACUAUGGAGUCUAG
ensembl:lncRNA